rnacentral:rRNA from 1 species
UACGGGGGGGGCAAGCGUUGUUCGGAUUUACUGGGCGUAAAGCGCACGUAGGCGGAUCUUUAAGUCAGAGGGGAAAUCCCAAGGCUCAACCUUGGAACUGCCUUUGAUACUGGGGAUCUUGAGUCCGGGAGAGGUGAGUGGAACUGCGAGUGUAGAGGUGAAAUUCGUAGAUAUUCGCAAGAACACCAGUGGCGAAGGCGGCUCACUGGCCCGGUACUGACGCUGAGGUGCGAAAGCGUGGGGAGCAAACAGG